rnacentral:rRNA from 1 species
UACGUAGGGGGCAAGCGUUGACCGGAAUCAUUGGGCGUAAAGCGCGUGUAGGCGGGUCGGUAAGUCCGCUCUGAAAGCCCGGGGCUCAACCCCGGGAGGCGGGUGGAUACUGUCGACCUCGAGUCCGGAAGAGGCGAGUGGAAUUCCUGGUGUAGCGGUGAAAUGCGCAGAUAUCAGGAGGAACACCAAUGGCGAAGGCAGCUCGCUGGGACGUGACUGACGCUGAGACGCGAAAGCGUGGGGAGCAAACAGG